GACGAACGCUGGCGGCGUGCCUAAUACAUGCAAGUCGAACGCACUCUCGUUUAGAUUGAAGGAGCUUGCUCCUGAUUGAUAAACAUUUGAGUGAGUGGCGGACGGGUGAGUAACACGUGGGUAACCUGCCCUAAAGUGGGGGAUAACAUUUGGAAACAGAUGCUAAUACCGCAUAAAACCUAACACCGCAUGGUGUAGGGUUGAAAGAUGGUUUCGGCUAUCACUUUAGGAUGGACCCGCGGUGCAUUAGUUAGUUGGUGAGGUAAAGGCUCACCAAGACCGUGAUGCAUAGCCGACCUGAGAGGGUAAUCGGCCACACUGGGACUGAGACACGGCCCAGACUCCUACGGGAGGCAGCAGUAGGGAAUCUUCCACAAUGGACGAAAGUCUGAUGGAGCAACGCCGCGUGAGUGAAGAAGUUUUCGGAUCGUAAAACUCUGUUGUUGGAGAAGAAUGUAUCUGAUAGUAACUGAUCAGGUAGUGACGGUAUCCAACCAGAAAGCCACGG
rnacentral:rRNA from 1 species